rnacentral:ncRNA from 1 species
UAGAGUUGGCAAUAAUACCUUUUGAGCUGCCUUGGUGUUCCCCCCGCGGAUGCGAGGGUCUAAGCUAAGGAUUACCAUCUCAAGAGACGCCGCUCUA